rnacentral:rRNA from 1 species
UGAGGAAUAUUGGUCAAUGGGCGAGAGCCUGAACCAGCCAAGUCGCGUGAAGGAAGAAGGAUCUAUGGUUCGUAAACUUCUUUUGCAGGGGAAUAAAGUGCAGGACGUGUCCUGUUUUGUAUGUACCCUGAGAAUAAGGAUCGGCUAACUCCGUGCCAGCAGCCGCGGUAAUACGGAGGAUCCGAGCGUUAUCCGGAUUUAUUGGGUUUAAAGGGUGCGUAGGUGGUUUGAUAAGUCAGCGGUGAAAGUUUGCAGCUUAACUGUAAAAAUGCCGUUGAAACUGUCGGACUUGAGUGUAAAUGAGGUAGGCGGAAUGCGUGGUGUAGCGGUGAAAUGCAUAGAUAUCACGCAGAACUCCGAUUGCGAAGGCAGCUUACUAAGCUACAACUGACACUGAAGCACGAAAGCGUGGGGAUCAAACAG